GAUGAACGCUAGCGGCAGGCCUAAUACAUGCAAGUCGGACGGGAUUCAGGAGCUUGCUUCUGAUGAGAGUGGCGCACGGGUGCGUAACACGUAUGUAACCUACCUUUAUCAGGGGGAUAGCCUCUCGAAAGAGAGAUUAAGCCCGCAUAAAAUCACGGCACAGCAUUGUGUAAUGAUCAAAUAUUUAUAGGAUAAAGAUGGGCAUGCGGAACAUUAGCUAGAUGGCGGGGUAACGGCCCACCAUGGCGACGAUGUUUAGGGGAUCUGAGAGGAUGGCCCCCCACACUGGUACUGAGACACGGACCAGACUCCUACGGGAGGCAGCAGUAAGGAAUAUUGGUCAAUGGGCGGAAGCCUGAACCAGCCAUGCCGCGUGCAGGAAGACGGCCCUACGGGUUGUAAACUGCUUUUAGACGGGAAGAAACCCAGAUACGUGUAUCUGGCUGAAUGUACUGUAAGAAUAAGGAUCGGCUAACUCCGUG
rnacentral:rRNA from 1 species